CAACCUCCUCAGGCUGGCUGGUCUCCAGGCUGGGUUGGGCGACUAUCUCUUCGAAAGGCUCAUCCUCAAGCACGACUAGGAGC
rnacentral:pre_miRNA from 1 species